rnacentral:rRNA from 1 species
UACGGAGGGUGCGAGCGUUGUCCGGAAUCACUGGGCGUAAAGGGCGCGUAGGUGGCCCGUUAAGUGGCUGGUGAAAUCCCGCGGCUCAACUGCGGGGCUGCCGGUCAUACUGGCGAGCUAGAGCACGGUAGGGGCAGAUGGAAUUCCCGGUGUAGCGGAGGAAUGCGUAGAGAUCGGGAAGAACACCGGUGGCGAAGGCGGCCUGCUGGGCAGUAGCUGACGCUGAUGCGCGACAGCGUGGGGGGCAAACAGG